GGUCCGUUGGUGUAGCGGCAGCACACCUGGUUCUCAGCCAGACGGCACGAGUUCGACUCUCGUACGGACUGCCA
rnacentral:tRNA from 2 species